rnacentral:rRNA from 1 species
UGCGAGACCUACAAGUCGAGCAGGGUCGAAAGACGGACUUAGUGAUCCGGUGGUUCCGCAUGGAAGGGCCAUCGCUCAACGGAUAAAAGCUACCCCGGGGAUAACAGGCUUAUCUCCCCCAAGAGUUCACAUCGACGGGGAGGUUUGGCACCUCGAUGUCGGCUCAUCGCAUCCUGGGGCUGUAGUCGGUCCCAAGGGUUGGGCUGUUCGCCCAUUAAAGCGGUACGCGAGCUGGGUUCAGAACGUCGUGAGACAGUUCGGUCCCUAUCCGUCGUGGGCGUAGGAAAUUUGAGAGGAGCUGUCCUUAGUACGAGAGGACCGGGAUGGACAUACCUCUGGUGUACCAGUUGUCGUGCCAACGGCAUAGCUGGGUAGCUAUGUGUGGACGGGAUAAGUGCUGAAAGCAUCUAAGCAUGAAGCCCCCCUCAAGAUGAGAUUUCCCAACUUCGGUUAUAAGAUCCCUCAAAGAUGAUGAGGUUAAUAGGUUCGAGGUGGAAGCAUGGUGACAUGUGGAGCUGACGAAUACUAAUCGAUCGAAGACUUAAUCAAAA